GAUGAACGCUGGCGGCGUGCCUAAUACACGCAAGUCGAGCGAACAGACGAGGAGCUUGCUCCUCUGACGUUAGCGGCGGACGGGUGAGUAACACGUGGAUAACCUACCUAUAAGACUGGGAUAACUUCGGGAAACCGGAGCUAAUACCGGAUAAUAUAUUGAACCGCAUGGUUCAAUAGUGAAAGACGGUUUUGCUGUCACUUAUAGAUGGAUCCGCCCCGCAUUAGCUAGUUGGUAAGGUAACGGCUUACCAAGGCAACGAUGCGUAGCCGACCUGAGAGGGUGAUCGGCCACACUGGAACUGAGACACGGUCCAGACUCCUACGGGAGGCAGCAGUAGGGAAUCUUCCGCAAUGGGCGAAAGCCUGACGGAGCAACGCCGCGUGAGUGAUGAAGGUCUUCGGAUCGUAAAACUCUGUUAUUAGGGAAGAACAAAUGUGUAAGUAACUAUGCACGUCUUGACGGUACCUAAUCAGAAAGCCACGGCUAACUACGUG
rnacentral:rRNA from 1 species